UACGUAGGGUGCAAGCGUUGCUCGGAAUUACUGGGCGUAAAGGGAGCGCAGGCGGUUUUGUAUGUCGUAGGUGAAAUACUCCGGCUUAACUGGAGAAACGCCUGCGAAACUGCAAGACUAGAGGACAGGAGAGGUGGACGGAAUUCCCGGUGUAGCGGUGAAAUGCGUAGAUAUCGGGAGGAACGCCGAAGGCGAAGGCAAUCCACUGGACUGUUCCUGACGCUCAUGCUCGAAAGCUAGGGGAUCAAACGGGAUUAGAUACCCCGGUAGUCCUAGCCGUAAACUAUGGGUACUAGGUAUGGCGGCGUCUGCUUGCCGUGCCGAAGCUAACGCAUUAAGUACCCCGCCUGGGGAGUACGGUCGCAAGGCUGAA
rnacentral:rRNA from 1 species